rnacentral:rRNA from 1 species
CCUACGGGAGGCAGCAGUGAGGAAUAUUGGUCAAUGGACGAGAGUCUGAACCAGCCAAGUAGCGUGAAGGAUGACUGCCCUAUGGGUUGUAAACUUCUUUUAUAUGGGAAUAAAAUGUUCCACGUGUGGGAUUUUGUAUGUACCAUAUGAAUAAGGAUCGGCUAACUCCGUGCCAGCAGCCGCGGUAAUACGGAGGAUCCGAGCGUUAUCCGGAUUUAUUGGGUUUAAAGGGAGCGAAGGUGGAUUGUUAAGUCAGUUGUGAAAGUUUGCGGCUCAACCGUAAAAUUGCAGUUGAAACUGGCAGUCUUGAGUACAGUAGAGGUGGGCGGAAAUCGUGGUGUAGCGGUGAAAUGCUUAGAUAUCACGAAGAACUCCGAUUGCGAAGGCAGUUCACUGGACUGCAACUGACACUGAGGCUCGAAAGUGUGGGUAUCAAACAGGAUUAGAUACCCGAGUAGUC